CCUACGGGAGGCAGCAGUGGGGAAUUUUGGACAAUGGGCGCAAGCCUGAUCCAGCCAUGCCGCGUGUGGGAAGAAGGCCUUCGGGUUGUAAACCACUUUUGUCAGGGAAGAAACGGUUCUUACUAAUAUUAGGAACUAAUGACGGUACCUGAAGAAUAAGCACCGGCUAACUACGUGCCAGCAGCCGCGGUAAUACGUAGGGUGCAAGCGUUAAUCGGAAUUACUGGGCGUAAAGCGUGCGCAGGCGGCUUUGCAAGACAGAUGUGAAAUCCCCGGGCUCAACCUGGGAACUGCAUUUGUGACUGCAUGGCUAGAGUACGGUAGAGGGGGAUGGAAUUCCGCGUGUAGCAGUGAAAUGCGUAGAUAUGCGGAGGAACACCGAUGGCGAAGGCAAUCCCCUGGACCUGUACUGACGCUCAUGCACGAAAGCGUGGGGAGCAAACAGGAUUAGAUACCCUGGUAGUCCACGCCCUAAACGAUGUCAACUGGUUGUUGGACGGCUUGCUGUUCAGUAACGAAGCUAACGCGUGAAGUUGACCGCCUGGGGAGUACGGCCGCAAGGUUGAAACUCAAAUGAAUUGACGGCUGAGAGNGCGAGACGACACGAGGGAGGAGG
rnacentral:rRNA from 1 species